GUUGCCGCAAAAUCGGCAACCGGGCGUGGAAACCCGUGUAACUCGUUGGCGACACCAGACGCGCCUUGCGUCUUUUUU
rfam:Brenneria sp. EniD312 chromosome, whole genome shotgun sequence.